rnacentral:rRNA from 1 species
UACGUAGGGUGCAAGCGUUGUCCGGAAUUAUUGGGCGUAAAGAGCUCGUAGGCGGUUUGUCGCGUCUGCUGUGAAAACUCGGGGCUUAACUCCGGGCCUGCAGUGGGUACGGGCAGACUAGAGUGCGGUAGGGGAGACUGGAAUUCCUGGUGUAGCGGUGAAAUGCGCAGAUAUCAGGAGGAACACCGGUGGCGAAGGCGGGGCUCUGGGCCGUAACUGACGCUGAGGAGCGAAAGCGUGGGGAGCGAACAGG